GCUGGGGGCGUGCGCUGGGGGCGCUGUACCUGCUCCCGCUCGGCCUGCCGCCUCUCCUCCUCCCGCCGCAGGGCCUGCAUGUCCUCGCGCCGCCGCUGCUGCUCCUUCUCCUGCAGCUUCCGCUGCUCCCGCUCCCGCCGCUGUUGCUGUGGGGGUAGAGCCGUGUGGCCUUAAGGGCUGCACCAGACACGGGGACAGCACAGCCCCAGAAGGCGGACCCACUCCGGCCCACUUCUGGAAAGCGGAUCCCUACUGGACAGUGCGGGCUGGUCUCCAUCUCACUGGGGAUGGAGGGAGCAGCUGCUGGAGAGACCGAUGCCCAGGGCACUGAAGUGUUAGUACACAGACCCCCAGAUCCCCGGGACUGAAGCACCCAGGGAUUCCAACUUAUGGGUCUACCUGUCUGUGCCCACCACCCCCAGACUGAGUCCCCAAGCCAAGGACCACUGUUGCCCCCGCAGACGGGGGGGAGAUCACUGCUGUUUCUUCACCCAGUGCCCCAGACCCCACCCUGGGCUAGGGAAACCUUAGAUGGGGAUAACCAAUAAGGUCUGUCUGGAUGGCCACGCUCCUGGGUCCCCACCCGCCUCCUUGGAGUAACGGGGUGAUGGUGGGUCGCAGGUUUGGGCCUGGACACAGAUGCGGGAUUAGACCCCACCGUGGGCGGGAUGCGGUGGGAGAUGUACACGCACUCACACAUGCACGUGCUCAGCAUGAGCCCUCAUGUGGAAGGCGGACUUAAAUCAGGUGGUGACAGAGGAAAAAGCCCUCUGGGGUUAGAAGUUUGGGAAAGGAGGUCUCUUUGGACAGGGAGAGCUGGGGCUGGAAGGGGGCCUGAAGGGGAGCCAGGAGGAGCCAGGGCUGGUGAAGAGGAGCAGGGGCUGUGUGUGUCCCAGACCCGCCACCUCCCUCUGCCCACUGACCUUUCUCGCCUCGUUUCUUCCGGGAUCGGUCGAUGUGGUCCUUGAGCUGGAUGCGGACCUGCCGCUCGGUGGGCUGGUCGCGGAUGAACGGGAACUUGAGCAGCUGCUCCGUCGGUGGGCGGCUCAGGUAAGUCUUGAUGAGACACGUGUCAAUGAAGUCGAUGAACUUCUUAGACCUGGAAACGAUGGUGGCUCACACUGGGAGGGCCCCCUCGGAAGGGGGGUGAUUCCAGGAGGAAGGGGGGAAUCCACCCUGACUUCCCUCCUGUCUCCCCCGUAUCCCAACACCAGGCUCCUGGCUCCCCAGCUGCAGUGCCGCCCCCGCCCACCCCCUCUUCUCUGGUGCAGACCCACGCCUGGGUGCAGGGGGUGAGGUGGAGGCCUUGUCCGAGGGCCUCCUUCCUAGACGCCAACCCCGCAGAGACCUACCAUUUCUUGGACUUGAGCCUGGGUGGCGGGUUCCGGGGGAUGAGGAAGAGGGCUCGCAUGGGGUGCAUGUCACACAGAGCUGGCGCACGGAAGAGACGCAAUCAGCCCCUCCCGCCCGGCCAAGAGCCUGCAGUCCUUCUCGCCACAGGCCUCCCACGACCCACCUCCUCCCUAUAGCUCUUUCUGGGCCCUCCCUUCUCUCCCAGGCUCCGCACUUACGGGGGGCUCCCUCUGCCAUCUCGAUGGCUGUGAUUCCUAAAGACCAAAUGUCACUCUGUGGAGGCAAAAGAAGAGGGACAGGUGAACGUUCCCGACCACUCUUCCUGGUCCACGCCCUUCGUGAGGCCCCUGUGCUCCAACCUGCGCUGUCCUCCAACUCCCCCAACCUUCCCAUCCGUACUUUCCUGACCACAAAACGUUCCUCGACCUCUCACUGCUAACACGACCCUAGGUCGUCAUUUUGCUCCCCAA